GUUGUUACUCUGUUUACGCGUUCAUUCCUUUACAGAUGGAAGGAGAGCUAUAUGGCCAUUCAUUUAAAGGACCAAGGGCAAACAAGCCAGCAGAUUGAAAAUGCUAAAGCUUUCAUUAAUUAUCGACUCUAUGGACCAGGCAGCAGGAGAAGCAGUGUCAAUGAAUACUUCUCACUAGCAAACAAGAAAGCAGAAAAGAAAAAAGCUGCAAUGCUGUUUGUUAAUAAAUCCUAGGAAGCUGCUGCGAAGUUUUGUAAGUUUACGGAUUCAGAUUCACUCUUCCGCUGGGAAAUAAGGGAAUGGAGCUAUUAGGAAAAUGGAAGUAUACAUGGGGCUCAAAUAGAAGAAGAAAUGGGAGGUCUCUUGGACUGGACACUAGCAUUUAUGUGCUGAAUUAAUUAAUCUUGAAGAAGCUGUAUGCCAUAUUUGCUGUAAUAGUUCGUUAGUUUGAUGCUAUGUUACGAGAUCAUACUGUGUAAUAGCUGUCAGUUGUCACGUUAAUAAAUUAGGGUGGUUUGAAACGUU